rfam:Microgenomates (Roizmanbacteria) bacterium GW2011_GWC2_41_7 TT78_C0060, whole genome shotgun sequence.
GCCGAUGUAGCUCAGCGGCAGAGCGGACGUUUCAUAAGCGUUAGGUCGGAGGUUCGACUCCUCCCAUCGGCA